rnacentral:rRNA from 1 species
UUUGUAAUCUGGCUGUCUUCGAUAGUCCGAGUUGUAAUCUAUAGACGUGUUUUCCGUGCUGGAUCGUAUCUAAGUCCCUUGGAACAGGGUAUCAAAGAGGGUGACAAUCCCGUGCUUGAUACGACGACCAGUGCUCUGUGAUACACGUUCUACGAGUCGAGUUGUUUGGGAAUGCAGCUCAAAAUGGGUGGUAAAUUCCAUCUAAAGCUAAAUAUUGGCGAGAGACCGAUAGCGAACAAGUACCGUGAGGGAAAGAUGAAAAGCACUUUGGAAAGAGAGUUAAACAGUACGUGAAAUUGUUGAAAGGGAAACGAUUGAAGUCAGUCGUGUUCUUCAGAUUCAGCUGGUUCUUCCAGUCUACUUCUGUUGAACGGGUCAACAUCAGUUUUGUCCGGUGGAUAAAGGUAGUAGGAAUGUGACUCCCCCGGGAGUGUUAUAGCCUAUUAUUGCAUACACUGGGUGAGACUGAGGACUGCAGCUCGCCUUUUGGCCGGUCUUCGGACACGUUCGAGCUUAGGAUGUUGACAUAAUAGG